ACUGUCUGUCCACCGGUCACUGCAGUGCCUCCCUCCUCCGCAGCGUCACGAAAGCCUUUGAUCAUGAGCGGUGUCACCUUCUCUCGUUCCUUUUCACUCAUGCUCUGGCUCACACUGAGUAACAUCAACAUGUUGUCACACUCAGUGAUACCCAUGGCAUAGAGGUCACUGAGCACAUUGGCACAAGCUAUGCGCCCCAUCAUAUAGGGAUCUUCCACCAAGGGGUAAAAGAAGUCGGUGGUCUGCACCAGCGACAGGCCUCCGUGCCUCAGGGGGAUGACGCAGGAGUCCAUGCCAAUGCUCAGCGAGGGGAAGGCUGAGCCGGGGCCGGGCCUGGUGGACAGGCCCCCUUCCUGCACCGUCUCUUCCUGGCCCCCGACCAGACCCGAGGUAAGCGGGGGCUGCAGCGCGGGCCGCGUCAGUCCCUCCAGGAGUUUGAGCAGGGUCUCCUGGGGGACCUUGCAGCCUCAGCCCUUCAUGCCGGAGAAGCUCGUCAGCCGCCAGCUCGGGCUGAAGCCCAGUGUCUGGGGCUCGAACGGCCGGUAGUUGGAGAAACUCCGGCCGGCAGACCAGCCCGCCGGGCCCAAGGAACCUUCUGCGGCCACUAGCGCCGCCAUGGUUUCUCCGCUGGCGCCCGCCGCCGCCGCUUCCGCCAUCGCGCCGCUCGCCCGGGAGGCCGUGCGGACCAGAAGGCCCAGAUACCUGCAGAUGAGUCUCCCAGCCACAGCGGGCCAAGGUUACGCCAGGAGAUGAUCAACCACGCGAGCCGGACCGGAGGACUCGAGCCACGCUGCCUGUCGGAGCGCCGCGCGGCCUCUAUUUAUAUACAGCGUGAUUGACAGCUGCUCUAUCCAAUGACGAUUCCCGUACCGAGAGGCGGGCUUCCUUUACUCAAAAAGGUGUAUUACAAAUUAACCGUCUGCUUGCACAACCGGUCCCCGCGAGAUCAUCACGUGAACCCCUUGUAACCGGCCUGGAACGCAGAUCAGGAUGGACUCGAACUCGAGUCCAUCGAUCUGUCUCAGCUUUCCAAGUGCUGUUAUUACAGGUGGGAGCCACGUUACCCGUGCGUGUCUUGUCCCCUCCGCCCCCCUCCGCCCUGGGAACCUGGUCUUGGAGUUGGCUGGCAGAAGUCUGCUGUUUUUGGAAUCAUUUUACCAAAGAAUAAAUUACUUACGGAAGGAAGCUCUGGCACUGGGCUAGCCCCAAGGUCAGAACAGUCCUAGGGUCAUUUGACAGGACACAAAGCUAAUCUAGGCUAAGAAAAUACUUUAAGGGGAGGUUUAGGGGAAGAAAGGGGACAUCACAAAGUAAAUACUAUGAUUGCAU
rnacentral:lncRNA from 1 species